GACGAACGCUGGCGGCGUGCUUAACACAUGCAAGUCGAACGGAAAGGCCCUGCUUUUGUUGGGUGCUCGAGUGGCGAACGGGUGAGUAACACGUGAGUAACCUGCCCUUUACUUUGUGAUAACUUCAGGAAACUGGGGCUAAUACCGGAUAGGAGCUCCUGCUGCAUGGUGGGGGUUGGAAAGUUUAGGCGGUUGGGGAUGGACUCGCGGCUUAUGAGCUUGUUGGUUGAGUAGUGGCUUACCAAGGCUUUGAAGGGUAGCCGGCAUGAGCGGGUGACCGGCGACAUUGCGACUGCGAUAGGGAGCAGAGUGCAAUGGGAGGCAGCAGUGGGGAAUAUUGCACAAUGGGCGGAAGCCUGAGGCAGAAACGUCGCGUGCGGGAUGAAGGCUUUCGGGUUGUAAAAAGCUUUCGCCUGUGACGAAGCGUGAGUGACGGUAAUGGGUAAAGAAGCACCGGCUAACUACGUG
rnacentral:rRNA from 1 species